UAGGGAAUCUUCGGCAAUGGACGAAAGUCUGACCGAGCAACGCCGCGUGAGUGAAGAAGGUUUUCGGAUCGUAAAACUCUGUUGUUAGAGAAGAACAAGGACGUUAGUAACUGAACGUCCCCUGACGGUAUCUAACCAGAAAGCCACGGCUAACUACGUGCCAGCAGCCGCGGUAAUACGUAGGUGGCAAGCGUUGUCCGGAUUUAUUGGGCGUAAAGCGAGCGCAGGCGGUUUCUUAAGUCUGCUGUGAAAGCCCCCGGCUCAACCGGAGAGGGUCAUUGGAAACUGGGCGACUUGAGUGCAGAAGAGGAGAGUGGAAUUCCAUGUGUAGCGGUGAAAUGCGUAGCUAUAUGGAGGAACACCCGUGGCGAAGGCGGCUCUCUGGUCUGUAACUGCCGCUGAGGCUCGAAAGCGUGGGGAGCAAACAGG
rnacentral:rRNA from 1 species